rnacentral:rRNA from 1 species
UACGUAGGGUGCGAGCGUUAAUCGGAAUUACUGGGCGUAAAGCGUGCGCAGGCGGUUGUGCAAGACAGAUGUGAAAUGCCCGGGCUUAACCUGGGAACUGCAUUUGUGACUGCAUGGCUAGAGUGUGUCAGAGGGGGGUAGAAUUCCACGUGUAGCAGUGAAAUGCGUAGAUAUGUGGAGGAAUACCGAUGGCGAAGGCAGCCCCCUGGGAUAACACUGACGCUCAUGCACGAAAGCGUGGGGAGCAAACAGG